rnacentral:rRNA from 1 species
UACGUAGGUGGCAAGCGUUGUCCGGAUUUACUGGGCGUAAAGGAUGCGUAGGCGGACAUUUAAGUCAGAUGUGAAAUACCCGAGCUUAACUUGGGUGCUGCAUUUGAAACUGGGUGUCUAGAGUGCAGGAGAGGUAAGUGGAAUUCCUAGUGUAGCGGUGAAAUGCGUAGAGAUCGGCAGGAACACCCAGGGGGAAACCAGCCGACUGGGCAAGUGCUGACGCUGAGGUGCGAGAGCGUGGGGAGCGAACCGG